GUUAUUGUAGCUUAUCACAAAGCGUGGCCCUGAAGCUGCCAAGAUGGGCAAUCACUAACCCCAAAAACA
rnacentral:tRNA from 1 species